rfam:Alcaligenes sp. EGD-AK7 Contig1, whole genome shotgun sequence.
CUUUUCACCGAGGGGAGCCUGGCGAGCAGGCUGAGAAACUGCCCGAGCAGAUUGCACCGCAGUGACCCGUUGAACCUGAUCCGGGUCAUGCCGGCGAAGGGACGGGUCUGUACCUGCUC